CCUACGGGUGGCAGCAGUGAGGAAUAUUGGUCAAUGGGCGCGAGCCUGAACCAGCCAAGUCGCGUGAGGGAAGACGGUCCUAUGGAUUGUAAACCUCUUUUGUCGGGGAGCAAAAGACGCCACGCGUGGCGUUCCGAGAGUACCCGAAGAAAAAGCAUCGGCAAACUCGGUGCCAGCAGCCGCGGUAAUACGGAGGAUGCGAGCGUUAUCCGGAGUUAUUGGGUUAAAUGGGUGCGCAGGCGGAAGAUCAAGUCAGCGGUAAAAUUGAGAGGCUCAACCUCUUCGAGCCGUUGAAACUGGUUGUCUUGAGUGAGCGAGGAGUAGGCGGAAUGCGUGGUGUAGCGGUGAAAUGCAUAGAUAUCACGCAGAACACCGAUUGCGAAGGCAGCAUACCGGCGCUCAACUGACGCUCAUGCACGAAAGUGUGGGUAUCGAACAGGAUUAGAUACCCGAGUAGUC
rnacentral:rRNA from 1 species